AUUGCACGCUGGCGGCAGGCCUAACACAUGCAAGUCGAGCGAGUGGCGGACGGGUGAGUAAUGUCUGGGAACCUGCCCGAUGGAGGGGGAUAACUACUGGAAACGGUGGCUAAUACCGCAUACCAUCGGAUGUGCCCAAAUGGGAUUAGCUAGUAGGUGGGGUAACGGCUCACCUAGGCGACGAUCCGUAGCUGGUCUGAGAGGAUGACCAGCCACACUGGGACUGAGACACGGCCCAGACUCCUACGGGAGGCAGCAGUGGGGAAUAUUGGACAAUGGGCGCAAGCCUGAUGCAGCCAUGCCGCGUGUAUGAAGAAGGCCUUCGGGUUGUAAAGUACUUUCAGCGGGGAGGCGUUACCCGCAGAAGAAGCACCGGCUAACUCCGUGCCAGCAGCCGCGGUAAUAC
rnacentral:rRNA from 1 species